UCCCGAAUAAUCGUAAACAAAUUUAGGCCCAAUCCUAAAUCCCCGGUAUGAUAAUAAAACUUAUGUAUAGUAUUUAUUGUUAAUAUGAUAUCGUUCAAAUAAUGCAUGAAAUAUUUGGCACUGGACUUAUGACUCUUGUUUGUAUGUCUUCACUUUAGUAGUGAUGCUGGAAAUCUAAAAUUUAUUAAAAUACCUGAUAACCAGUUUAUGAUUUGAAUAUCUUUUAAAAUAUCAGAACUGUUGAAAAAAAGGAAGUCAAUUCUUUUAAAAUCCUACCGUGCAGUAUUCGCGGAUUACAGCUGAUUUCCUAAUGCUUGCAAAGUAAAACUUUGUUUGGCUUGCUUGCUUUGUUUGUGUAAUUGUUAAUACAAGCUUUGUAAAUAAGAUUGACAUCUUUAAACAAUAUAUAUAGGCAUAGUUUAACCUGAAUAUAUUAUAUUUGAAUUUAAUUUGGUGUUAUCCUAUGGUAAACGCUUAAUUCAACUGAACUAGAAUUGUUUGUACAUGUUUGUGCGCUCUAAACGAGCAUAAUACUUGCAACUGGACUAUAAGCAAUUUCAGUCAAAAGUCGAUUUAUAUGUUACAGAUUAAAUUUGCAAUAACAACCGGCAUUGAACCAACUAAUACUAAUAAAUGACCACUUCAUCAACUGUGUCCCCCAUUAUAGAAUUGCCGUAAACGUUAUUGAUUUUAUUCAUGUAUUAGCGCUAAAAGACUUGAGACGUUCUGGCGUUAAAUAGUGGACAC
rnacentral:lncRNA from 1 species